UGGCUUUGGUCAAAGUCAAACUGUUUCAAGUUUGACCAAGUUCAUAUAAAAAUUAGUAAUAUUUUUGAUCCAAGAUAAAUUUAUUAUAAAAAUAUAUUUAAUUAUUGAUUUGAUGAAACUAACUUGGUAAUGUAAAUAUUACUAUAUUUGUCUAUAAAUUUAGUCAAACUUGAAGCAGUUUGACUUUAACCAAAGUCAA
rnacentral:pre_miRNA from 1 species